AAAGCAAAUCAGUGAUCGAUUUCGUACAGGAUAAGUAUGCAUAUGUAAGCGAUAUAUCUAGCUCUAAGAGUGAGAUCGAAGUCAGUAAAGUAGUUAGCUUAGAGAAACAAAAUCUGAUAAGUGCAAGCUAAGAGAAUCAGGUCAAGUGUAUGGUAUAGUGUCCAGGGGGUUCUGACAUGCCGGAUGGAAGAAUAUUGGAUUUUGGCGAGCUGUAUCCUCCGAUGUAUACCCACGGUUAUUCCUGCUUCCUUAGUUUCCUACUUAUGUGCAACAACUGUGUAAUUAUAUUCUAGAAUGUCAGUUAAAAUGCCGAAUAGUGAUGAUUGAAUGCUUCCUAGACUGUUCACAGUCCCUUAUUUUUCCGUGAGAUCGAAGAUGUGCUGAGAUGACGAUCGUUGAGUUCGACGGGCCGCCACCUUGGUCUCUUGAUGCGAGCGAAACUGGGGAGAGUACAAAAGUCCGUGGGUAGGGGUGGUGGAAGGUACGGCGGGCGAAAAACUUGAAUAGGGAGACUGUAACAGCUUCACUGUCUCGUGUUCAAGGGAAAAAGAGAAGCCUUCCACUUCUAGUCUCCUCCGCAGCCGUUUUUUGGGAUGUCACGCAACGGAAGAGCGUUGCGUGACAAAAUGAUGAAUAUUUCAUGAGUGAACCACGCAAUCUCUAUGGUAAGCAGUCGAGGGUGGUGGUGGGAGCUCGGGUUUUCCUGCCAUUCGUGAUGUCCUUUGACAGUUGAGAAGAGAUCUGGGAGUGAAGUUGACACGUCAUGCAACAUAAACAAAGGUAAAACAAAGAAGAUCAGAUCACUGAGAAGUCGUCUUGACUGCGCAAAAAAAGUCUACUCUGAUGGGACGUAAAGAUGCGGAAGGAAGAUCGGAUGUAGAAAAAUUCAGGAAGAAUAUAGGAAAACAGGAAUUCAAAGGUCGUAGCAAAAAGAAGACACUAUCAAUUCGUGACAAAGCUCAAUCCAGGAGAUCAAGUGGAACUAUUCAGAUUGUGUUAUUGUAUUUGUUUGUUAUCCUUGCUGUCCUGGUGUCGCUGUACUUUGUGUUCUACACUGUGUAUGCCAGUAACAAAGAUGAAAGCCACUCCAGCUGACAAGAAUGAGCACAGCCUCCACGUGGCGGCAAAUGAACUUCGAUGCCAGCCCUACAUGUUUUUCCGCCAAAAAACAUUGCGCGCGAAACAGCGGAUUCAACCCGUUUGGAAACCUUUGCUCCCCAGGCCUCGGGCCAAAGACUUCUGAUUUCCUCUUCUACAAACAGCAGCUGUCUACAAGGAGUUGUUUUGUAAAACUGUAGUACUGUGGAAUUAACCGGUGCUUCACCUUCUGUGGAGACGAUUUUGUUGAUGAUAGUCUUGAUGAAGCCCCUGUGUUCGAGCUCUGCGUUGUCCAGUUUUUGAAGGACGUCGCUGACGGCUGCCCUAUAGUUGUGGUUAAACACGCGAAUUGCGAUGUUUUCUGACGCUCUUGAAUCUGCGGUGUAUAAGAUUAGCAAGAUUUGUUAUAUAGCUUAAUAAAGUGGAAAUUUUAUAAUAUCUUCGUGUAAACUAACUACGUGUGUUCUAAAGUUGUAUUUCAAGAACUUCAGAGAAAAAUGGACGUGUGUGAUUCAACAUUGAACCCAAGAGGCGUGGGUGUAAAGCUGAGAUUUUUUGCUUCUUAAGUAUCCCAUAUUUACUGUCUUAGGGUUGUUGUUAGAUGAUCUUCGCACUGUUCUGGCAUUUAUGUGUAUUUAGACUAAGAAAUCCGACUUCUGUUGGCGUAAGCAGAAGGUUGUUUAGUGCAGGAGGUAUCUAACUUUAUGUAUCAAUUGUACAGUAACCAGAAUUUAUCCGCUGAAUAUUUAACAAUUAUUCCUUGAGUACACGUAGGAUGCGGGGUGUUAAAUAACAAAGGAAACGCCGAGUUUAUUAUAAUCACCUCUUAUCCAACAAGGGCGAAUGAAAUAAUUGUUUUAUUAAAUUAGACAGUCAAUUAGCUAGAUGAUGUGGGCAUUUUAGUGUGAUUUAAACGAAGCCAUAGUCUAAAAAUGGCGGGAAAAUCUGUCGGGCGUUCUCCAUUGUUGGGGUUGAAUGAAGCAUGUCAGGAAAGCGAGCGAGACAAAAAGGUUUCUUCCGAAAUAUCCUCGCAUAAUCACCUCCAAAGGUUUCUACAUUUUGGAAAAAUGUGACGAGCGCCAGGUUUACAAGAAGAAAGGUUUCCGAGACGCCUUAUUCGAGUCAAAUGAAGCAAAUUUUACUUGUUUGCGCGGCUGUCAUCAUCAAGACUACAGACUGUUAGUGUUGCUCAAAAGCGAUCGAGUUCAAAUGCAUUGAAGUGUAAAAGGACAAGGCGGAAUUGAAAGGUAUGAAAGGUAGUAAACUUUUCUGGGGUGCUAAGCUUAAUAUUAUACUGAAAAAUGUGUUUUCACGGCUAACAAUAACUGAACAUGAACGAUGCUGUGUCGGUUUUUGGUUCUUCCUUUGAAUUCUUUGUUGGUUUUCUUCUUUAUUCAGUUGCUGUUGUUGUAUAUUUACAAGCCCUUUCGAUUAAAUAAGUAGUUUAGUUGAUUGUGGUAUUUUCUGGCUUUUUAUAGUUUCCGGAUUUAUAGAUUUGCCUCGUAUUGUUUCCUUAUUUUGGCGAUAGAAAGCUCACCAAAUGUACUUCUUUCAGCCAUGUUUUUUUGGAAAGAGCUUUCCUUCACUGGCGACCCACCGCAUUCAUAUUCCACAUAUACAGUCAAAGACGGGUAUAAUGGCUGAUAACCCAAAUUCAGGGAACCCAUCAGAGGGCCGCGUUGUUAAUUCGAAAGCCGCUUAACGUUAACCCAGGAUUAAAAGUUCACCGAAGUAUUAAUUUUUCUUUAUAAAAAUUGUCAUUGCCCAUGUUUUCAGUGGCUUGCGAUUAUUUAAAUUAAAAACUGAGAGACAAACAAUAUAGACAAAAACUUCAUCGAAUAGAUACAAAACUUAAAUCAAAAUUCUUGCUAACCUUGGUUAGCGUAAUCGGGCUUUGAACAACCCGGCCCUGAAAGCUACAAGUGCUUUAUCCCAGGUUUAGAAUUUAGGGAUUAAUCUCCUAAACCCGUCUCAGGAGUAAGAGUACAUCUCGUAUUGGAAUGUGUUCCGUCUUUAUAUUCGUGGGAGGAAUAUUUCAACGAGGAGUUUUCGCCCCAAAAUUGUCAUGAAAUGAUGAACUGAUCAGAGAUAUUAUAAGACGAAAUUAUAUUUCGAGGUAGAAAAGUUUAUUACAUAACCCAAGCAGGUAAUGUACAUUAGAUUUUUUGUGUUUAUGAUCAUACAUAAAUUACAAUUCUGCCCGUCAUGUUAUGAUCAUGGUCAAAACGAUUGUUAGCUUUCACAAUGGAAUGAAGUGGAUACAGCACUAGAAGGGCACAUUAGACUUUUGUUCAUUGGAAUUUGAAGUUAAUAUCUAGCUUAUUACACGGCGACUUACCUUGACGAGCUGGCAUUGAGCCGGUUGUAGUUACAAGAAGGCAUGAAGCCAAAAAUAUCGCACCUAUAUACCAUGUUAUGUUCUUCAUUCUAAAAGCGGAGUACUGAUUCUGCGGGGAAGACAAUGAUACAAGACCACAACUUUAACUGGUGUUUAUGUACCACUGCCAGUGCUUGUUAGAAAAUUCUGCGGGGAAGACAAUGAUACAAGACCACAACUUCAACUGGUGUUUAUGUACCACUGCCAGUGCUUGUUAGAAAACUCGACAUGCAUAACAGUUUCCAGAAUAAAACUGAUACCGCUUAACUUAUCGUGGAAUUUCACCUCUUGUCCUUAUUUUCCCAAUUUUGGCCGCCAUUAUUAGUAGGACUCUCGGAGUUCAAAAUCAACGAAUCGAAGUUGUGAACAAAUACAGUACUUUCUUGAGACUUUUUUAUUACUGUUUCCUUCCUCUAUUUAGUGAGUGUUGUCGUUCGAAUAUGAUAUCAUUCAAUGCUCUAGGUAGUAACAAUGAAGAUACCAAAAAAAAUUAUUUCGGUCGAUUCUUAGGAUGCUAAUUUAUUUCACCAAUCAGAAAGCUGCUGUGAUAUGUGGUAAUAUAGUACCAUAGUCUCUGUAGAAUAAAAGUCGUGAGAAUUUUUUUGUGAAGCUAAGAAACUGUUCGGUAGUUCUAGAGAUUUUUUUUCAAGCCAAAACCUGACCAGUACAAAUUUUUGAAAUCUUAAACGAUCUCUUGCUCGUCUAUUACAAAAGAAUAGCAAAAAAAAAA